UUGAUCACACUUUUUUUAGUCUCUUUCCAGCGGCUUAACAGUUUGGAAAACUGUUGCAAUUGUAGUGGCAUUAUAUGCUUAUAAAGCAGUACGAUAACUACCAUUUGGGUAUAUUCAUUAACAUGUGUUAUGAAAAAGUUAAAAUGAGCGUUGAUUUCUUUUCUUUUCUUUUUAAGAGAAAAACGUGUAUUAAAGUUUUUCUAGUUUUGGGUUACAGUUUCCCAUUUGAAAUAAUUGAAUUUCCUUGGAGUACAACUGGGUUUCCGGAAAGAGAAUUGGUGGUAGAAAGUAGAAACAACAUGGUCAAACUAGCACAACAUGUGCUUUUAUCUUGUCAUCUUUGUAAAUGUGAAUACGAAGCAACAAAUUUAACAUCAGGCCCUUUUUUAAUAAUUAUGUAAGCAGGACAAGACACCUACCAAUACUUUCCUGCUGGUUCUAGUUUUGUUGUGGGCUUUAUGCAUACUGGGGAGCAUGACUGCUUCCAAGGCAUUAAGUUGCUACAAAGAGCUUUUGUGCAAUCCUUCAAAUCUUAGAGAACAACAAGAGCAAAGAGGACACUACACUUCCUUCUUCAAGUUCCAAAUUUGUUAAAGAUUUUUAUGUAUCAUCAUAUUUGGGAUUAUAACAUUAAUACUAUUACAAUGUGUUUAUCGUAUUUGAUAUUGUUGAGAUCGUAAUUUUGAACUUAUAGUUAGUUUA